CCUGUCCCUUGAGGCAUUGGAGAUAUAUGGCUGCCAUGUCACAUGUGCAUCAGUAGGUGGCAGAGAGGAGGGAAGCUGUGUCUUCACUCAGUGUUCUGACCUGUGAACAUCUGAAUGAUUAGUAGCCUAUCAUU